rnacentral:lncRNA from 1 species
CUCAAACAUGAAUAUUUUCAACUGAUCGAAUUGGUCUUUAAGUUCUAGACCAUUCUGGGUUCUACGGUCAAUCACAAGUUGGCUUGGUAAUUUAUCCUCCUCUAGUUUACUGACUACUGUAGCUGAUUGGUCUAAUUGUUUUAAUAACUGUUUAGUGAUUUGCAUAAAAUUAUUGAGGGUGUUUUUAAUAUCUGAGGUUGAUUGAGCCAAGACUUCUAAACUCUUUUCUAAUGUAUUAACUCCUUCCUCAGGAUCUAAUCUAAUUGAUUGUUCAGUGUUUGAUUAGGCCUUAGGUAGGGCUAACCAAAAAUAUGGGCUCCUAAUAUUGCAUCUUGUGGUCACAAAAAAUCAGGAUGAUUUUCCCACCUUGGAUUAUAGGUUAGUGCAUAAGGUUCAUUCAUGUAUCUCUCAUUGAAUGUACUUUCCUGUGUGAACGCAUUUUGGAUUGGACUCAUCAAGUAAGGACACUCAACAACAUGAUCCGGCGCAUCGCAUCUAGUGCACAUGGGUGCUAUCACUUGGUUAAAUUGGAUAUAUCUUUCGAAUUCUAAGACUUCAAUUCUACCAGUCAAAGUUGCAAUUUUAGUGUCUUCAAACUUUCUUGUAUAAAUAUAUGCAUCUUCAA